rnacentral:lncRNA from 1 species
UUCUCCCUCCCUUUCCCUUUCUCAUUCUUCUCCAUCUCUUUCCCUUUCUCUUUCUCAUUAUUCUCAUCUCUAUCAUUUUCCCUUGGCACUUACUCUCUGUCAUUUCUCCUCCACACUUGGUCACAUUUUUAUUUUUAUUCUAAAUCUCAGAUCUCGUUUUUUCUUCUCACAAGUAAAUCAUUGUUGAGCCAUAGUUCAAUGUCGACACUAACACCGUUCAAUGUUGUCGCUGUCGUUAGCUCCGCCCUCAUUGUCUAGAUCCUCCGCCUAAUUUGUGUUCAACAUCAACACUAACACUUUAGGAACACUAUGCAACUUUUGCAGUUUGAGUGGCACCACAAUUCAAUUGCCUUUAUUGAUUUGUGCAUUCUGCCAUAGAUUGUUGCAUUAACCAG